AACGAACGCUGGCGGCAUGCCUAACACAUGCAAGUCGAACGAGACCUUCGGGUCUAGUGGCGCACGGGUGCGUAACGCGUGGGAAUCUGCCCCUCGGUUCGGAACAACAGUUAGAAAUGACUGCUAAUACCGGAUAAUGACGAAAGUCCAAAGAUUUAUCGCCGAGGGAUGAGCCCGCGUAGGAUUAGCUUGUUGGUGGGUAAUGGCCCACCAAGGCGACGAUCCUUAGCUGGUCUGAGAGGAUGAUCAGCCACACUGGGACUGAGACACGGCCCAGACUCCUACGGGAGGCAGCAGUGGGAAUAUUGGACAAUGGGCGAAAGCCUGAUCCAGCAAUGCCGCGUGAGUGAUGAAGGCCUUAGGGUUGUAAAGCUCUUUUACCAGGGAUGAUAAUGACAGUACCUGGAGAAUAAGACUCCGGCUAACUCGUGCCAGCAGCCGCGGUAAU
rnacentral:rRNA from 1 species